CACACACACACACACACACACACUGACGCUAUCAAACUGCACUAAGGAGGUGAAGAUUGCUGUUUUGUGAACUCUUCAUUUUUUAAAGAAGGGCAAUAUGAAGCUGAUUUACUUUGCCGUGUUACUGUUGGCCAUGCAAUGGACAGUCGUCGGGGUGACAGGAGGGAAUGGACAUGAAACAACAACAUACAUCACUUAUACAGCCUCAGACAAAGAACUGCAGUCCACAGUGGAUGUUAAACCACAGGUUGCAUGCCCACCAUGUGUGACCACCAGAAACACCUUCGAAAAAAAGAAAAUUCCAUGGUCAGUUAGAUAUUUGGGAAAGAAAACGAAGAAGGGACUUCGGAGAACACAGAUGAACCUGAGGAG